rnacentral:rRNA from 1 species
GAGUUUGAUCAUGGCUCAGAUUGAACGCUGGCGGCAGGCUUAACACAUGCAAGUCGAACGAUGAUUACUAGCUUGCUAGUAUGAUUAGUGGCGAACGGGUGAGUAAUGCUUAGGAAUCUGCCUAUUAGUGGGGGACAACAUUCCGAAAGGAAUGCUAAUACCGCAUACGUCCUACGGGAGAAAGCAGGGGAUCGCAAGACCUUGCGCUAAUAGAUGAGCCUAAGUCGGAUUAGCUAGUUGGUGGGGUAAAGGCCUACCAAGGCGACGAUCUGUAGCUGGUCUGAGAGGAUGAUCAGCCACACUGGGACUGAGACACGGCCCAGACUCCUACGGGAGGCAGCAGUGGGGAAUAUUGGACAAUGGGCGAAAGCCUGAUCCAGCCAUGCCGCGUGUGUGAAGAAGGCCUUUUGGUUGUAAAGCACUUUAAGUGGGGAGGAAAAGCUAAUAAUUAAUACCUAUUAGCCCUGACGU